AACACGUGGAUAAUCUACCCUAAGGUGGAGGAUAACCUCGGGAAACUGAGAAUAAUACUCCAUAAGUCUAGGAUACUGGAAUGUACUUAGGCUGAAAACUUCGGUGCCCUAGGAUGAGUCUGCGGACUAUCAGGUUGUAGUCAGGGUAAAGACCUGACUAGCCUACAACGGAUACGGGUUGUGAGAGCAAUAACCCGGAGAUGAUAUCUGAGACACGAUAUCAGGCCCUACGGGGCGCAGCAGGCGCGAAAACUUCACACUGCGCGAAAGCGCGAUGAGGGAAUCCCAAGUGCUUGCACGUAAGUGUAAGCUGUUUCUAUGUCUAAAACGCAUAGAGAGUAAGAGCUGGGUAAGACGGGUGCCAGCCGCCGCGGUAAUACCUGCAGCUCAAGUGGUGGCCGUUAUUAUUGGGCCUAAAACGUCCGUAGCCGGUUUAUUAAAUGCCUGGGUAAAUCGGGCCGCUUAACGGUUCGAAUUCCGGGUAGACUGAUAGACUUGGGACCGGGAGAAGCUAGAGGUACUCCUGGGGUAGAGGUGAAAUUCUGUAAUCCUAGGGGGACCA
rnacentral:rRNA from 1 species